AUGCUUCUCCUAAAGACUAAGCCAUGCAUGCCUCGAAUAGAAGAGCAAUAUCUCUCCGAAUCUGCGUACGGCUCCGCACACCAGUUGUAACACAAUGGCAUGCCGGUUUCCGAGAUCGCCGCAAGGCGUUUCUUGGGGACCACAAGGAUAUCCCUGGUAAUUCUGAGGCUAAUACAAGAACAUACCACCUUUGGCUGACCGGCAACGGGAUGCUGGGGUGCGUGUAAGACCUCGCUAAAUUACUAUGAGAAGCUGCACGCUCUGACCACUGCAAAAAACGGGCUCGCUUGUGAACCUUCGGGGGAUCGGGCUUGCUCGAGUGGCUCAUGCAAUGUGCUUCUGACCUAUCAACUAGAUGGCGGCGUAAGGGACAUGCUAUGGUGACAACGGGUACGGAGGAUAAGGGUUCGAUCCUGGAGAGUGGGCCUGAGAGAUUGCUCACACUUCUAAGGAAGGCAGCAGGCGCGCAACGUUCCCAUUGGACUCCGUCCGAGGGCGUUAGGGGAAAUAUGAAUGUCUGCCUUAUGGUGGACAAUUCAAAUGGGACUGUUCUAAACAGCCCA
rnacentral:rRNA from 1 species